rnacentral:rRNA from 1 species
AUCAUUACAGAGUUACUACUCCAAACCCAUUGUGAACCUUACCUAUGUUCUGUUGCCUCGGCGGCGUGGGUCAGCGCCCCUCUGAAAAGAGGACGAUGCCCUCCCGCCGGCAGCACCAAACUCUUUGAAUUUUACAGCGGAUUACAGUUCUGAUUUGAAAACAAAAAACAAGUUAAAACUUUCAACAACGGAUCUCUUGGUUCUGGCAUCGAUGAAGAACGCAGCGAAAUGCGAUAAGUAAUGUGAAUUGCAGAAUUCAGUGAAUCAUCGAAUCUUUGAACGCACAUUGCGCCCGGCAGUAAUCUGCCGGGCAUGCCUGUCCGAGCGUCAUUUCAACCCUCGAACCUCCGUUUCCUCAGGGAAGCUCAGGGUCGGUGUUGGGGCGCUACGGCGAGUCUUCGCGACCCUCCGUAGGCCCUGAAAUACAGUGGCGGUCCCGCCGCGGUUGCCUUCUGCGUAGUAAGUCUCUUUUGCAAGCUCGCAUUGGGUCCCGGCGGAGGCCUGCCGUCAAACCACCUAUAACUCCAGAUGGUUUGACC